GAUGAACGCUAGCGGCAGGCUUAACACAUGCAAGUCGAGGGGCAGCAUAAAUAGUAGCAAUACUAUUGGUGGCGACCGGCGGACGGGUGCGUAACGCGUAUACAACCUUCCCUAAACAGGGGGAUAAUCUGGAGAAAUUCGGUCUAAUACCCCAUAACAUCAGAGCAGGCAUCUGUUCUGGUUAAAAUUUCCGGAGGUUUAGGAUGGGUAUACGUAGCAUUAGCUAGUUGGUGAGGUAACGGCUCACCAAGGCGACGAUGCUUAGGGGGACUGAGAGGUUAACCCCCCACACUGGUACUGAGACGCGGACCAGACUCCUACGGGAGGCAGCAGUGAGGAAUAUUGGUCAAUGGGCGGAAGCCUGAACCAGCCAUGCCGCGUGCAGGAUGACGGCUCUAUGAGUUGUAAACUGCUUUUGUACGAGGGUAAAGUGGGCUACGUGUAGCCUUUUGAAAGUAUCGUACGAAUAAGGAUCGGCUAACUCCGUGCCAGCCGCCGCAGUAA
rnacentral:rRNA from 1 species